GAUAAACGCUGGCGGCGUGCAUGAGACAUGCAAGUCGAACGGACACUUGGGGGCUUGCUCCAAGUGUUAGUGGCGGACGGCUGAGUAACGCGUAGGUGACCUGCCCCGAAGUGGGGAAUAACUGCCCGAAAGGGUGGCUAAUACCGCAUGUGGUGGUGUGUUCAUUCACACCAGUAAAGCCGCAAGGCGCUUCGGGGAGGGGCCUGCGUCCGAUUAGCUCGUUGGUGGGGUAACGGCUCACCAAGGCGACGAUCGGUAGGUGGUCUGAGAGGACGAUCACCCAGACUGGGACUGAGACACGGCCCAGACUCCUACGGGAGGCUG
rnacentral:rRNA from 1 species